rnacentral:lncRNA from 10 species
AGCAUCUUUACUUGGCCUGGGUUUGCACCCAAUUUCUGGACAUUUUAUAGCUGAGCAUUACAUGUUCUUAAAGGGUCAUGAAACUUACUCAUAUUAUGGGCCUCUGAAUUUACUUACCUUCAAUGUGGGUUAUCAUAAUGAACAUCAUGAUUUCCCCAACAUUCCUGGAAAAAGUCUUCCACUGAGCUGGAGUUUCCUGGAUGGGUGCAGUGGCUCACACCUGUAAUCCCAGCACUUUGGGAGGCCUAGGUGAGGAAAAUAGCAGCUGAAUACUAUGACAACCUCCCUCACUACAAUUCCUGGAUAAAAGUACUGUAUGAUUUUGUGAUGGAUGAUACAAUAAGUCCCUACUCAAGAA